rnacentral:rRNA from 1 species
AAAUACAUGCAAGUCAACUGAACUUUAGGUAGCAAGUAUUUAAAGGGAGGUGGCGCACGGGUGAGUAACACGUAGGUAAUCUGCCUUCAGGACUGGCAUAAUCUGCGAAAGCGGGACUAAAAUCAGAUGAUGCAGCGGCUCGACAUCGAGACAGUUGUUAAACCUUCGGGGCCUGAAGAUGAGCCUGCGUCUGAUUAGGUAGUUGGCGGGGUAAAAGCCCACCAAGCCUGCGAUCAGUAGCUGGUCUGAGAGGAUGAUCAGCCACACUGGAACUGAGACACGGUCCAGACUCCUACGGGAGGCAGCAGUAAGGAAUAUUGCUCAAUGGCCGAAAGGCUGAAGCAGCAACGCCGCGUGGAGGAUGAAAUACUUUAGUAUGUAAACUCCUGUAAGAGGGGAAAAAUAUACAGCUAUGCUGUGUUGAUUGUACCCUCAGAGUAAGCACCGGCUAACUACGUG